ensembl:lncRNA
AGAGAGAGAGAGAGAGAGAGAGAGAGAGAGAGAGAGAGAAAUGUAAAGGGUAAUAAAGGAGGGGGAGAGAGAGAGAUAGAGAGAGAUGUAAAGCGUAAUAAAGGAGAGAGAGAGAGAGAGAGAGAGAGAUGUAAGAGCAGAGAGAGAGAGAGAGAUGUAAAGCGUAAUAAAGGAGAGAGAGAGAGAGAGAUGUAAAGCGUAAUAAAGGAGAGAGAGAGAGAGAGAGAGAGAGAUGUAAAGCGUAAUAAAGGAGGGAGAGAGAGAGAGAGAGAGAUGUAAAGCGUAAUAAAGGAGAGAGAGAGAGGGGGGGUGUAAAGGGUAAUAAAGGAGAGAGAGAGAGAGAUGUAAAGCGUAAUAAAGGAGAGAGAGAUAGAGAGAGAGAGAUGUAAAGCGUAAUAAAGGAGGGAGAGAGAGAGAUGUAAAGCGUAAUAAAGGAGGGAGAGAGAGAGAGAGAGAGAGAGAGAGAGAUGUAAAGCGUAAUAAAGGAGGGAGAGAGAGAGAGAGAGAGAUGUAAGUCGUAAUAAAGGAGAGAGAGAGAGAGA